rnacentral:rRNA from 2 species
GUUUUGAUUUGAAAGGCGCUUUCGGGUGUCGCUGAUGGAUGGACCCGCGGUGCAUUAGCUAGUUGGUGAGGUAACGGCUCACCAAGGCCACGAUGCAUAGCCGACCUGAGAGGGUGAUCGGCCACAUUGGGACUGAGACACGGCCCAAACUCCUACGGGAGGCAGCAGUAGGGAAUCUUCGGCAAUGGACGAAAGUCUGACCGAGCAACGCCGCGUGAGUGAAGAAGGUUUUCGGAUCGUAAAACUCUGUUGUUAGAGAAGAACAAGGAUGAGAGUAACUGUUCAUCCCUUGACGGUAUCUAACCAGAAAGCCACGGCUAACUACGUGCCAGCAGCCGCGGUAAUACGUAGGUGGCAAGCGUUGUCCGGAUUUAUUGGGCGUAAAGCGAGCGCAGGCGGUUUCUUAAGUCUGAUGUGAAAGCCCCCGGCUCAACCGGGGAGGGUCAUUGGAAACUGGGAGACUUGAGUGCAGAAGAGGAGAGUGGAAUUCCAUGUGUAGCGGUGAAAUGCGUAGAUAUAUGGAGGAACACCAGUGGCGAAGGCGGCUCUCUGGUCUGUAACUGACGCUGAGGCUCGAAAGCGUGGGGAGCAAACAGGAUUAGAUACCCUGGUAGUCCACGCCGUAAACGAUGAGUGCUAAGUGUUGGAGGGUUUCCGCCCUUCAGUGCUGCAGCUAACGCAUUAAGCACUCCGCCUGGGGAGUACGACCGCAAGGUUGAAACUCAAAGGAAUUGACGGGGGCCCGCACAAGCGGUGGAGCAUGUGGUUUAAUUCGAAGCAACGCGAAGAACCUUACCAGGUCUUGACAUCCUUUGACCACUCUAGAGAUAGAGCUUCCCCUUCGGGGGCAAAGUGACAGGUGGUGCAUGGUUGUCGUCAGCUCGUGUCGUGAGAUGUUGGGUUAAGUCCCGCAACGAGCGCAACCCUUAUUGUUAGUUGCCAUCAUUCAGUUGGGCACUCUAGCAAGACUGCCGGUGACAAACCGGAGGAAGGUGGGGAUGACGUCAAAUCAUCAUGCCCCUUAUGACCUGGGCUACACACGUGCUACAAUGGGAAGUACAACGAGUUGCGAAGUCGCGAGGCUAAGCUAAUCUCUUAAAGCUUCUCUCAGUUCGGAUUGCAGGCUGCAACUCGC